GAUUUACUCCCUCCGUCCGAAAAUACUUGUCAUCAAAAUGAAUAAAAGCGGAUGUAUCUAGAUGUAUUUUAGUUCUAGAUACAUCUCUUUUUGUCCAUUUUGAUGACAAGUAUUUUCGGACGGAGGGAGUAUUUU
rfam:Triticum aestivum genome assembly, contig: Triticum_aestivum_CS42_TGACv1_scaffold_320350_4BL